GGUUGUGGCUAGGAGGUAGAGCGCUUGCCUGGCAUGCAUGAGGCACUGGGUUCAAUCCUCAGCACCA
rnacentral:tRNA from 1 species